rnacentral:tRNA from 2 species
CGCGGGGUGGAGCAGUCUGGUAGCUCGUCGGGCUCAUAACCCGAAGGUCGUCGGUUCAAAUCCGGCCCCCGCACCCA